rnacentral:rRNA from 1 species
UCUGGGAGGACCAUCUCCUAAGGCUAAAUACUCUCUAGUGACCGAUAGUGAACCAGUACCGUGAGGGAAAGGUGAAAAGCACCCCGGAAGGGGAGUGAAAUAGAACCUGAAACCGUGUGCUUACAAGUAGUCAGAGCCCGUUAAUGGGUGAUGGCGUGCCUUUUGUAGAAUGAACCGGCGAGUUACGAUUUGAUGCAAGGUUAAGCAGUAAAUGUGGAGCCGUAGCGAAAGCGAGUCUGAAUAGGGCGUUUAGUAUUUGGUCGUAGACCCGAAACCAGGUGAUCUACCCUUGGUCAGGUUGAAGUUCAGGUAACACUGAAUGGAGGACCGAACCGACUUACGUUGAAAAGUGAGCGGAUGAACUGAGGGUAGCGGAGAAAUUCCAAUCGAACCUGGAGAUAGCUGGUUCUCUCCGAAAUAGCUUUAGGGCUAGCCUCAAGUGAUGAUUAUUGGAGGUAGAGCACUGUUUGGACGAGGGGCCCCUCUCGGGUUACCGAAUUCAGACAAACUCCGAAUGCCAAUUAAUUUAACUUGGGAGUCAGAACAUGGGUGAUAAGGUCCGUGUUCGAAAGGGAAACAGCCCAGACCACCAGCUAAGGUCCCAAAAUAUAUGUUAAGUGGAAAAGGAUGUGGCGUUGCCCAGACAACUAGGAUGUUGGCUUAGAAGCAGCCAUCAUUUAAAGAGUGCGUAAUAGCUCACUAGUCGAGUGACACUGCGCCGAAAAUGUACCGGGGCUAAACAUAUUACCGAAGCUGUGGAUUGUCCUUUGGACAAUGGUAGGAGAGCGUUCUAAGGGCGUUGAAGCAUGAUCGUAAGGACAUGUGGAGCGCUUAGAAGUGAGAAUGCCGGUGUGAGUAGCGAAAGACGGGUGAGAAUCCCGUCCACCGAUUGACUAAGGUUUCCAGAGGAAGGCUCGUCCGCUCUGGGUUAGUCGGGUCCUAAGCUGAGGCCGACAGGCGUAGGCGAUGGAUAACAGGUUGAUAUUCCUGUACCACCUAUAAUCGUUUUAAUCGAUGGGGGGACGCAGUAGGAUAGGCGAAGCGUGCGAUUGGAUUGCACGUCUAAGCAGUAAGGCUGAGUAUUAGGCAAAUCCGGUACUCGUUAAGGC